UCGUUCUAUGUGUUGUUUCCUUUCCUCA
rnacentral:piRNA from 1 species